rnacentral:rRNA from 1 species
UACGUAGGGUGCGAGCGUUGUCCGGAAUUACUGGGCGUAAAGAGCUCGUAGGUGGUUUGUCGCGUUGUUCGUGAAAACCGGGGGCUUAACCCUCGGCGUGCGGGCGAUACGGGCAGACUUGAGUACUGCAGGGGAGACUGGAAUUCCUGGUGUAGCGGUGGAAUGCGCAGAUAUCAGGAGGAACACCGGUGGCGAAGGCGCACAUCUGGCCCGAUACUGACGCUGAGGCGCGAAAGCUAGGGGAGCAAACGGG